GACGAACGCUGGCGGCGUGCCUAAUACAUGCAAGUAGAACGCACAGUUUAUACCGUAGCUUGCUACACCAUGGACUGUGAGUUGCGAACGGGUGAGUAACGCGUAGGUAACCUGCCGGGUAGCGGGGGGUAACUAUUGUAAACGAUAGCUAAUACCGCAUCAUAUUGAUUAUUGCAUGAUAAUUGAUUGAAUGAUGCUAUUGCAUCGCUACCAGCUGGACCUGCGUUGUAUUAGCUAGUAGGUGAGGUAACGGCCCACCUAUGCGGCGAUACAUAGCCGGGCUGAGGGGGUGGACCGCCAAACUGGGAAUGAGACCACGCCCAAGACUCUAAGGGAGGGAGCAGGAGGGAAUCUUCGGCAAUGGACGAAAGUCUGACCGAGGAAAGCCGCGUGAGGUGAGAAGGUUUUCGGAUCGGAAAAGUCUGUUGUAAGGGAAGAACGGGUGUGAGAGUGGAACGUUCACACUGUGACGGUACCUAAACAGAAAGGGACGGCUAACUACGUG
rnacentral:rRNA from 1 species